GUGGGGAAUAUUGGACAAUGGGGGGAACCCUGAUCCAGCCAUGCCGCGUGUGUGAAGAAGGCCUUUUGGUUGUAAAGCACUUUAAGCGAGGAGGAGGUUACCGAGAUUAAUACUCUUGGAUAGUGGACGUUACUCGCAGAAUAAGCACCGGCUAACUCUGUGCCAGCAGCCGCGGUAAUACAGAGGGUGCAAGCGUUAAUCGGAUUUACUGGGCGUAAAGCGCGCGUAGGUGGCCAAUUAAGUCAAAUGUGAAAUCCCCGAGCUUAACUUGGGAAUUGCAUUCGAUACUGGUUGGCUAGAGUAUGGGAGAGGAUGGUAGAAUUCCAGGUGUAGCGGUGAAAUGCGUAGAGAUCUGGAGGAAUACCGAUGGCGAAGGCAGCCAUCUGGCCUAAUACUGACACUGAGGUGCGAAAGCAUGGGGAGCAAACAGGAUUAGAUACCCGGGUAGUCC
rnacentral:rRNA from 1 species